UCCUCUAAUUCUUAGGGGGGAAAAACACACAAAAAACCAAAACACCCACGAGGCUGACCGAUGGAACCUUCUCCAUUGUCAGCUUUUCUUAUCUGUAUCUGCUUCCACUUUGGUGUCUAAAGCUGUCUGUUUCCCUUAAAUGCGGAGGCACACUGCCCCGGGCACACAGUUACAUAACUUGCUAUUUUCAGCUAAAUGCGGCAACAAUUCCUGCCACGGGCAUAAGUCUGAGAACUGUUGGCCUCUGGAUACGGCUCCACGCAAAUCCUCAGGCUGUGUUCAACCCCGUGCAGAACAAACCCUGCCUCCCUGUGCUACUUUCCCCUCCACUUCAACUCCUAUGCAUCCUUCAAAGCCCCAGUGCUGAUGUUCUCUUGCAAUCCUCCGGCCGUCUUUCUUUCUCAGCAGCCCCUCCUCCCUGCCUCCCGUGGACCAACAGGAGGCAAGGCUACUCACCACCGUAGAAGGGCACCCACUGAUGCAGCGACGGCUGCGCACAGAGACACCCCGCCCACAAGAGCUGGAACAGCGACUCCAGGAACCCCAGGGGGUCCACUCACCUGGACCCUACUUGGGGAGAGAGAGGCACCAUCGGCCUGGAGAGAAGCCAGUGGCCCCCACACCGCCGGCCAGGUCCCCAAGCCCACUGGCCCCCUGGACUCGUGUCCCCCCUUACCUGGGCACUGCCCCCUAAACCACAGUUCAGGAGGGUCCACAGCAGAAGCAGGUUCUGGAGGGGGCGGGGUGGGGGGGAGCAGAGAGGGCGCGGCAGUGGGGGCGCCAGCAGGCCGGGGUCGGAACCCCAGCUCUGUGCCCACUGGCUGUGUGAUGUGGGGCAGUCGUUUAACCUCUCUGGGCCUCUGUUCUCGUCUCUGAAAAGUGGGGUAAUAACAGGGCCCCCGUUACAGGAAAGUCUGAGGGGUCCGUCAGACCAGAUAAGAAAAGCAGGCUGCACAGAGCCCGGCGAGGGGGAGGGAGAGCUCAAAGAAUUAUCCGCUUUUAUUGCUAUUGUUUGUCGUCUGAUUACAUGCACACAGCAAGUGCUUAA